GCGUCUCCAUCGCUCGACCUGCCGGCAAC
rnacentral:sRNA from 1 species